GCAGCCGCGGUAAUACGGAGGAUGCGAGCGUUAUCCGGAUUUAUUGGGUUUAAAGGGUGCGUAGGCGGUUUAUCAAGUCAGCGGUUAAAUGUCCGGGCUCAACCCUGGCCUGCCGUUGAAACUGAUGAACUGGAGAUAGUGUGGAGUAUGCGGAAUGCGCAGUGUAGCGGUGAAAUGCAUAGAUAUUGCGCAGAACUCCGAUCGCGAAGGCAGCAUACUAACACUAGUCUGACGCUGAGGCACGAAAGCGCGGGUAUCGAACAGGAUUAGAUACCCC
rnacentral:rRNA from 1 species